GUAAGCAUUUCGUUGGACAGCGUAUACCAUGUGUAUCCAGUAUAAGAUUCAUAACACUUGGAUUUUGACGUGUGUUUUAGAGUUGGUGUCUUGCUGGAAGAUCCACUUCAGGCUACAUUUUAGCCUCCUGCUAGGGGCAACCAGGUUUUUGGCUAAAAUGUCCUGUUACUUGGUAGAGUUCAUGAUGCCGUUGACUUUAACAAGGGACCCUGGACCAGUGGAAGAAAAAUAGCUCAUAACAUCAGAGCUACCACCAUAUUUGACAGUAGAGAUGGGGUUAUUUUCAGCUUGUGUCUUCUCAUUUCAAGACCAAAUCCACCAAAAAAAAAAUAAGAUUUCCCAAUUUUUUGGAGCAUACAAUAUAGCUCAGUAUUUGAAUAAUUUAUUUUACAGUCAUUUUUGCAUAUUUAUCAAGUGUCAAUAAUUUCAGACCCCACUGUAGUACCUUUACAGAGAAUCAUCGGAAUCUACAACAUUUCUAAGUCACAACAAAACAAAGCUCAAAAUGCCAUCAUAUUGAUCGUUCAUUCCGACUACUAUUGGAAGUCAUUUAAAUCAAUAAGGAGCUGAACAUAUAAAUUUUCCAACUGUAAACUAAUAUAGAAGAUUUCUCCAGAGACCCAAGUUCACACCAGGUUAAAAGUGACAUCCACACAAAUCGCCUCUGGGAUUCUAAAGUCCAUCACUAUACCAUAAUGUGUUGUUGAUCUUGUCUGCACUAUAUAGGAGAGACACCGAGAGAACUUAAUUAAAGCUUUGACAAGCCCAAUCUCUAAAAGUGAUGAGAUUAUUCUUAAUUGAUGUCACAGUGGAUUAAGGUUUGGACUGUUGCUGGCCCACUGGCAGGUCUAGCCCUGGUUCAGACUGUGGGAUAUUGGUGAAAAGCGUGGUUUGCCCCGCUCAAGCUGUUUCUGCUACAAAAGGAUAGAUUUUAGCGAACAGCCUAAUGACUCUGUUUGAAGUAUAAUGAACCCAUGACCCCGUCCCAUUGCUGUAACCUCUCCUAUCUGCCAACAUUGGGGCUGAGGGACAAUAAGACAAAAAUGUUGCCAUUCACUAGAGGGGUCUGUGGUGAAGUGUGGAGGCCGUUUGUAACCGCAUUGAGUCUAGGAAAAAAAUAUUUAUUUACAUGCAAACAAAGUUAAAAGCUAACAAGUUACCGAGACAUUUGCUUUUCACAAUGGAAGGGGGGUGCAAACAAAGUGCAGAUUAUUUUACUCAAUAGGACUUCAGGGUCUACUCAAUAGGACUUCAGGGUCUACUCAAUAGGACUCCAGGGUCUACUCAAUAGGACUCCAGGGUCUACUCAAUAGGACUCCAGGGUCUACUCAACAGGACUCCAGGGUCUACUCAACAGGACUCCAGGGACUCAACAGGGGUCUACUCAACAGGACUCCAGGGUCUACUCAACAGGACUCCAGGGUCUACUCAACAGGACUCCAGGGACUACUCAACAGGACUCCAGGGUCUACUCAACAGGACUCCAGGGUCUACUCAACAGGACUUCAGGGUCUACUCAACAGGACUUCAGGGUCUACUCAACAGGACUUCAGGGUCUACUCAGGACUUCAGGGUCUACUCAACAGGACUUCAGGGUCUACUCAACAGGACUUCAGGGUCUACUCAACAGGACUUCAGGGUCUACUCAACAGGACUUCAGGGUCUACUCAAUAGGACUUCAGGGUCUACUCAAUAGGACUUCAGGGUCUACUCAAUAGGACUUCAGGGUCUACUCAAUAGGACUUCAGGGUCUACUCAAUAGGACUUCAGGGUCUACUCAAUAGGACUUCAGGGUCUACUCAAUAGGACUUCAGGGUCUACCAGAGACUAAGGCCUUUAUUUUCAGCUGGCGUGAAGGCAUCAAAAGUUUCAAACGCAUUAUAGUUUGUAAUUUCUUCAUGUAAAAACUGUUGCACUAGCAUUUUCCAGGCCCAACGGCAGGUUAUGCAAUUUACCCGUGUUAUAUCAGCUCACUUGCGCUCAGAUGGGAGGAGUGGAAAUAUUUUAGGUGUGUCCUUAAAAACAUGAUCCAAAGUGCUAAUUUCAGGCAGCUUUGACAGGGAUAGUUAAGACCAAUCAAAAGCAGGUUUUAGCAGUAACAUACAGUGCCUUGCGAAAGUAUUCGGCCCCCUUGAACUUUGCGACCUUUUGCCACAUUUCAGGCUUCAAACAAAGAUAUCAAACUGUAUUUUUUUGUGAAGAAUCAACAACAAGUGGGACACAAUCAUGAAGUGGAACGACAUUUAUUGGAUAUUUCAAACUUUAACAAAUCAAAAACUUAAAAAUUGGGCGUGCAAAAUUAUUCAGCCCCUUUACUUUCAGUGCAGCAAACUCUCUCCAGAAGUUCAGUGAGGAUCUCUGAAUGAUCCAAUGUUGACCUAAAUGACUAAUGAUGAUAAAUACAAUCCACCUGUGUGUAAUCAAGUCUCCGUAUAAAUGCACCUGCACUGUGAUAGUCUCAGAGGUCCGUUAAAAGCGCAGAGAGCAUCAUGAAGAACAAGGAACACACCAGGCAGGUCCGAGAUACUGUUGUGAAGAAGUUUAAAGCCGGAUUUGGAUACAAAAAGAUUUCCCAAGCUUUAAACAUCCCAAGGAGCACUAUGCAAGCGAUAAUAUUGAAAUGGAAGGAGUAUCAGACCACUGCAAAUCUACCAAGACCUGGCCGUCCCUCUAAACUUUCAGCUCAUACAAGGAGAAGACUGAUCAGAGAUGCAGCCAAGAGGCCCAUGAUCACUCUGGAUGAACUGCAGAGAUCUACAGCUGAGGUGGGAGACUCUGUCCAUAGGACAACAAUCAGUCGUAUAUUGCACAAAUCUGGCCUUUAUGGAAGUGGCAAGAAGAAAGCCAUUUCUUAAAGAUAUCCAUAAAAAGUGUCGUUUAAAGUUUGCCACAAGCCACCUGGGAGACACACCAAACAUGUGGAAGAAGGUGCUCUCGUCAGAUGAAACCAAAAUUGAACUUUUUGGCAACAAUGCAAAACGUUAUGUUUGGCGUAAAAGCAACACAGCUCAUCACCCUAAACACACACCAUCCCCACUGUCAAACAUGGUGGUGGCAGCAUCAUGGUUUGGGCCUGCUUUUCUUCAGCAGGGACAGGGAAGAUGGUUAAAAUUGAUGGGAAGAUGGAUGGAGCCAAAUACAGGACCAUUCUGGAAGAAAACCUGAUGGAGUCUGCAAAAGACCUGAGACUGGGACGGAGAUUUGUCUUCCAACAAGACAAUGAUCCAAAACAUAAAGCAAAAUCUAC
ensembl:lncRNA